rnacentral:rRNA from 1 species
AACGUAGGUGGCGAGCGUUAUCCGGAUUUACUGGGCGUAAAGGGUGUGCAGGCUGCUCCUCAAGUGGUGUAUGAAAGGGCUCGGCUCAACCGGGCUAGGUUAUGCCAGACUGAGGGGCUAGAGAGCGAGAGCGGGACGUGGAAUUCCGGGUGUAGUGGUGAAAUGCGUAGAGAUCCGGAGGAACCCCAGAGGCGAAGGCGGCGUCCUGGCUCGCAUCUGACGCUCAGACACGACAGCAUGGGGAGCGAACGGG